rnacentral:rRNA from 1 species
CGGCAGGAUGAAGGUCAGUCUAAAGGGCUUACCUGACGAGCCGAGAGGUAGUGCAUGGCCGCCGUCAGCUCGUGCCGUAAGGUGUCCUGUUAAGUCAGGCAACGAGCGAGACCUGUACUCACAAUUGCUAACAGGUUCAUCGAAUGACUGAGCACAUUGUGGGAACUGCCUUCGAAAGAAGGAGGAAGGUGCAGGCUACGGUAGGUCUGUAUGCUCCGAAUCUUCUGGGCUACACGCGCGCAACAAUGGCAGAGACAAUGGGAUGCGACUCCGAAAGGAGAAGCCAAUCCUCGAAACUCUGUCCUAGUCCAGAUCGUGGGCUGUAACUCGCCCACGUGACGUUGGAAUCCCUAGUAAUCGGAUUUUAUCAUAGUCCGGUGAAUAUGUCCCUGCUCCUUGCACACACCGCCCGUCAAACCACCCGAGCAGGGUUUAGAUGAGGCUUCAUUUUCAAUGGGGUCAAAUCUAAGCUCAGCGAGGAGGGUUAAGUCGUCACAAGGUAACCGUAGGGGAACCUGCGGUUGGAUCACCUCCU